rnacentral:snRNA from 2 species
GCUUGCUUCAGCACACAUAUACUAAAAUUGGAACGAUACAAAGAAGAUUAGCAUGGCCCCUGUGCAAGGAAGACAUGCAAAUUUGUGAAGCGUUCCAUAUUUUG